CUCCUCCAGAUAAGGGCAAUAACUGGAUGUGAAUGCAAGGAAAUGAACUUGGCUUUUCUUGACAUUCACCAUGCACUUUUCCUAGAUGAAAUGCACUGGACUGUGAAAAGAAUGCCCACCUAACCAAGGGAGAGGACAGCUUUUUUGUUCCAAUAGUUCAAAGCUUCCACUGAAAAAGAAGAAUCGUGGGACUGAUGCCUGGGGAACAUUUCAUCUUUCUGCUCUUACACCUCUUUUGUGCUGUUCCUGCCAAGAGAACAUUCCUUUGAGAGCUGCCUGGUACCAGCAUUCCUGCCUGCCCACGCGCUGAAUGCAGCCUUUGUGCAGCGGCUGCCCGGCUCACGGACACUGCGUGCUGCAGCCCCACGAGGUCACAGAUCCACUCACAGAGAGCAAUGGCUGAACCACCCUCUUCAAGCUGAACAACAACAGUAAUAAUAAUUUAAACACACACAUACACAAGCAUGCACGCUGUCUAUAUGUAACCACAUUUGCAUAAAAAGACUGCUAUUUUGAAACAAAGUGCACUGGUCAAGUGAAUAAAUCCCAUUUUCACAAGGGAUGCUUGGGCA